UUGUCUCCGUUCGCGCUUGCCAUAGCGCGCAUGGCCGCGCGCUCGCGCUUUGCAAAUGAUUCAACGGGUCGGUUUCGUGCGCACAUCGCUUUCUGUGUGUUUCUGCGUUGAUGGCUCAGCUUCACUUUGGUGCUUUCAGACAUUCACGUACUAAUCACAGACAUGGGAAGACUAUAAGACGUCAAGAUGAAAGGCUCCUAGCAGCUCUCAGUGUUCCCAACGAAACUGGCAGAAUGGCAGUGGCUGAUUACAAGCUGCCUUUGGUGAACAAAAAAACCGUGACCACAGUAGAAUCCGAGCAGAGCUCCAAUCCUGCAUUCUGAUGACACCUUGUAAGUAAAAGCUUUAUUAAUUGACUACAUGAGCACAUUUUUAUAAUAACUCGUGCCAGGUGUAACUAAUGCCUUUUAUAUGCAUGUUAAAUUGACUUCAUUGUUUUAUUGAAAUUGUGUGGCUUCAUGUUUUUGAGUUGUAUACGCAGUAGUUUCAGUUAAUACUUUUUUAUACUAUGGCUGUUUACAUCUUGGCAGUUUUUGUGUGUAAAUAUUGCUGCAGUAAUUUCUCUGGAAUGCAUAAUCAUCUAGUGUCAUCUGCCUUACCUUUUCUGCGGAUUUAAUACCCGCCUUCAUGCAGCUACUGUAAUAUCCACAGUGUGUAUAUUUGGUGUUUUCGGCUUUGAAUCCCUUUUGUUCUCUUCCAAAUUUUUUUUUCAGAUACAACGGCUCUCUGUUAUGGGGGGCUGGUACUUAAGAAGCUUUACUGCGGGCAUCCUACCCACUAUUUUCAGACUGUUUUGGUGGAAACUUAAGCUAGACUCUAGGCCAGCGGCGGAAAAAGAGCUUCAGGGACAUGCAUGUCUACAGUGUCAUGGAAGAUGCAUCAAAGGAUACUGGACCUGCCGCCAGCUGACAUGCCUUUCUUCCUCCUUAGUUCUGUUAAGAUGUGGGUUCAGUUUUUCUAGACAUGCAAUCCAUAAUAUAUGCAGUCUAGUCAAAUCAGUGCACGGCAUUACAUGCCAUUCAUUUGGCAUGUAUAUGUAUAUAUGUAUAUGGCAUGUAUAUAUUUAGUCAGAAUCAAAGCAGGACAAGCACAUGUACAUAAUUUGCAAGAAUAAAAUUUUGUUUUUUGCUAAUUUUGCUGCCUCUUAAACAUUGUUAUGAAAUGCUGGCUACAGAAGAGGCAUUUUACAAG